rnacentral:lncRNA from 1 species
UUUGCCACCAAUUUUGCAUUGGUCCAAGACUUCCACGGGCCCUUUCCGCUUAGCCAGCAUAGCGUUGAUUUAAUAUGCUCUCAGUAAUUUCUUGACAUCAAUGUUUGAGGCCAUCGAGCCCAGAGCAAGCAGAGAGGUCAGCUUAUUGGGCGGCAACAAUACUCUCUGAUGAAUGGAGCCUACAUAAGCCCAUUUUGUAAACU